GGGCUGUAAAACUAAUUCUCAAGCCAGCAUCACCACCCAGCCCUGCGGCGUGUGAGAGGAGCUGAGGAAAAGUGGGGAGAACUCCCAGGGAGAGGAGACUGUUCCACCACCUUUGUGAACAGCUGAUAAAAAGACGCCCGGCUGGCUUCAGGACCAUGGAAAGCUCCGAGGACGGGGAAAGCUGCUGGAGGAAGGAGGACCCAAGAGGGAGGAGGGAGGAGGAAGGUAGUGAGGUAUGUUCUGCUAAGUUGAAGCAGGACUCCCUUGAGAGGCCUGAUGCCAAUGAUUCUUCAGGCAAAGGACCAUCUUGCUCCAGGAAGGAAGGAGUACUCAAAGAACCACAGAAGUCAAGAGACAAGAAAGCUUGAAGGGACCUUCACUGCCCAAUGAGGCAAUUUAAGCAUCAAAAUUAAUGACAGUACCAACAGAUUACAACCCACUCAAUGAAACAGCAAAGAACAAUUCUCUUCUCACAUACAUAAAUGAAUAAAUGAAGUGA